GACGAACGCUGGCGGCGUGCUUAACACAUGCAAGUCGAACGGAAAGGCCCUGCUUUUGUGGGGUGCUCGAGUGGCGAACGGGUGAGUAACACGUGAGUAACCUGCCCUUGACUUUGGGAUAACUUCAGGAAACUGGGGCUAAUACCGGAUAGGAGCUCCUGCUGCAUGGUGGGGGUUGGAAAGUUUCGGCGGUUGGGGAUGGACUCGCGGCUUAUCAGCUUGUUGGUGGGGUAGUGGCUUACCAAGGCUUUGACGGGUAGCCGGCCUGAGAGGGUGACCGGCAAAAUGGGGACGAGAUUACGGCCCGAACUCCACGGGGAGGAAGAAUGGGGGAAAAUUCACCAAGGGGGGAAGGCCGAAGGCAGAACCGCGGGGUGGGGGAUGAGGGCCUUCGGGUUGAAACCGGCUUUCCCCGGGAAGGAAGGGUGGGUGAGGGAAAGGGGUAAAAAGGAACCGGCAAAUAACGG
rnacentral:rRNA from 1 species